GACGAACGCUGGCGGCGUGCUUAACACAUGCAAGUCGAGCGGUAAGGCCCUUUCGGGGGUACACGAGCGGCGAACGGGUGAGUAACACGUGAGUAAUCUGCCCUCUACUUUGGGAUAACCCUCGGAAACGGGGGCUAAUACCGGAUAUGACUUCUGCACGCAUGUGUGGGGGUGGAAAGUUUUUUCGGUAGGGGAUGAGCUCGCGGCCUAUCAGCUUGUUGGUGGGGUGAUGGCCUACCAAGGCUUCGACGGGUAGCCGGCCUGAGAGGGUGACCGGCCACACUGGGACUGAGACACGGCCCAGACUCCUACGGGAGGCAGCAGUGGGGAAUAUUGGACAAUGGGCGAAAGCCUGAUCCAGCAACGCCGCGUGAGGGAUGACGGCCUUCGGGUUGUAAACCUCUUUCAGCACAGACGAAGCGCAAGUGACGGUAUGUGCAGAAGAAGGACCGGCCAACUACGUGCCAGCCGCCGCCGUAACAC
rnacentral:rRNA from 1 species